rnacentral:rRNA from 1 species
UGAGUAAUGUCUUGGGAAACUGCCUGAUGGAGGGGGAUAACUACUGGAAACGGUGGCUAAUACCGCAUAACGUCGCAAGACCAAAGAGGGGGACCUUCGGGCCUCUUGCCAUCAGAUGUGCCCAGAUGGGAUUAGCUAGUAGGUGGGGUAAUGGCUCACCUAGGCGACGAUCCCUAGCUGGUCUGAGAGGAUGACCAGCCACACUGGAACUGAGACACGGUCCAGACUCCUACGGGAGGCAGCAGUGGGGAAUAUUGCACAAUGGGCGCAAGCCUGAUGCAGCCAUGCCGCGUGUGUGUGAAAAAGGCGUUUUCGGUUGUAAAGCACUUUCAGCGAGGAGGAAGGUGGUGAGCUUAAUACGCUCAUCAAUUGACGUUACUCGCAGAAGAAGCACCGGCUAACUCCGUGCCAGCAGCCGCGGUAAUACGGAGGGUGCAAGCGUUAAUCGGAAUUUACUGGGCGUAAAGCGCACGCAGGCGGUUUGUUAAGUCAGAUGUGAAAAUCCCCGGG